AUUAGAUGAGCCUAUAUUAGAUUAGCUAGUUGGUGGAGUAAUAGCCUACCAAGGCAAUGAUCUAUAGCUGAUCUGAGAGGAUGAUCAGCCACACUGGAACUGAGAUACGGUCCAGACUCCUACGGGAGGCAGCAGUGGGGAAUAUUGGACAAUGGGCGAAAGCCUGAUCCAGCCAUGCCGCAUGAGUGAAGAAGGCCUUUGGGUUGUAAAGCUCUUUUAGUGAGGAAGAUAAUGACGGUAAUCACAGAAGAAGUCCUGGGUAACUCCGUGCCAGCAGCCGCGGUAAUACGGAGAGGGUUAGCGUUAUUCGGAAUUAUUGGGCGUAAAGGGCGCGUAGGCUUAUUAAUAAGUUAAAAGCGAAAUCCUGAGGCUUAACCUUGGAAUUGCUUUUAAAAGUAUUAAUCUAGAGAUUGAAAGAGGAUAGAGGAAUUCCUGAUGUAGAGGUAAAAUUCGUAAAUAUUAGGAGGAACACCAGUGGCGAAGGCGUCUAUCUGGUUCAAAUCUGACGCUGAAGCGCGAAGGCGUGGGGAGCAAACAGGAUUAGAUACCCUGGUAGUCCACGCUGUAAACGAUGAAUGUUAAAUAUGGGAAGUUUA
rnacentral:rRNA from 1 species